GGGGCUUUGGCUCAGUGGUAGAGCGCUCGUCUAGUAUAUGCGAGGCAUUGGGUUCAAUGCUCAGCAUCA
rnacentral:tRNA from 1 species